rnacentral:lncRNA from 1 species
AGAAAAAGGAAGAACAAAACCCUAGGUGGAAAAAUUCAAAGGAAAAGUGUGAAAAUUCAAGGAAACAAGUGAAAAAAAGGUAAGAUUUUUCAAUUAAGCUUGAGAUCUCUCUUUCUUAAGCAUUUUUUCUUAUUUUCCAUGGUUGAAUCACAAGAUAUCAUGAAGGAUAGUGUGCUGAUCAAACCCUAGGAGAGAGAAUUUGAUGAUGAUUUAGAUAGAUUUUUAAGAUAUAUAGAUGUUUUUAGUUGUUUAUGAUGUUAAAUGUAAAAAUUAAGCUUGAAAUUCACAUAUACCUCAUGAGUUCAUCAUUGGCCGAAUCUUCCUUGUGGAGUGUUGAUGGUGGAUUUGAUUUUAUUUCAAGUAAAUUGGUUAGGAAAUGAUGAAUUAUAGUGAGAAAAUCAAGUAGGAAAAAUCAUAGUGUUGAUGCACUCACCAUGGCCAAAUUUUCCAAGAGAAAAUGUGAAAAUGAUUUUGGUAAAUUUUAUGCUAUUUAAUUUGUGUUUGAUGAUUUGCAAAAUUGGAAGAAAAAUGGAGUUAAUUGGAGUUAAAUUGGACGUAUUGGCCAAUUAAUCGGGUGAUAGAUCGAAUUAGGCCAAUACCAUUUUAUGUAGGUACAUAAUUGAAUUUAUAUUAAACACCGUAUUUAGAUAGUUACCCGAGUAUUUCACAUCCCAUUUCAUGCAUUAGUAUAAAGCCUGAAUUGGUUUUACAAUGGUUUAGCACAAAUGUACUAAAUGGAUUAUUGUGCAUUAUGUCUAAGUGGUGAGCUUUCUAGCAAAAGUAAAGAGAUAGUACCCGAGGAUCAAGAAUCGGAGUAUUCAGAAUUCGACUCCCGAAAUAGUGAGUAACCUUAUCAUCAUCUUGAUUAUCUGAAGUAAAUUUUAAUUUGUUUUUGUGAUUUUAUGGAAAAUGAGUUUAAAUGGAAAAUCUUUAUGUUUUAUAAACAAAAUGUGAUUAAAUAAAAUGAUUUUAUAAAAUUGUCUUGAAAUUGAAAUAUGGUUUUGAAAAUGGAGUAAUUGGAGACUAAUAGCUCUGUUAUAAAUCAUGGUUUGAAUUGAAUGGUUUAUGAAAAUAUUUGCAUGAAUGGCUGAAUUGGUAUUUGUGUUUAAAAUGUAUGAACUGUUAAAUUGCCUUGAGAGGCUGUAAAAUAAAAUAAUUGCCAUGUCAUGCUGUUAAAUUUUAUUGAAUUGGUGGGUUAUAAAUUGGUCGCUACAGUGGACGGGUUCCGUGGACCAGCCUAUUAGAGGGUCACGGUAACCCUAUUAUAUUCUUACCUUAGUAUGAGAGGCGCGGAUGGAUAACUCCUGAGGUUAACACUUUAGAGUUCGCUUCACGCCAAACCACCACGUGAGGGUGAACUCAGCCAACUCUAAGGAACGGCUAUGUUUUCAAAAUAAAAACAUGAUUUAUGCGUACAUAACUUUUUAACAGCCUUGGCGGACUCGGUUGGGAUAGCCCUUGGCCAAGGUAUCCCUGAUAACUGAGUAUGAGAAUGAUUUUGGCACGAGCCAAACCUUUCAAGAAAUCAUAAGCCUCGUUGUUUAUUUUGGUGAAAUGAAUCUAUUUUAUCUCAUUAAAAUGAGUUCAAAAUGCUGAGAAUCAUUUUUAUGCUAAUUUAUUUUAUCUAUCUCAAUUUACUCAGCUUUAGAUAUUUUAGAUGGUAUUUGUUUACUCAAUGGGAUUAUAUAAUCUCACCACCCUCCUUUCCACCCAUUUCAGGCUCAGGAUAGUCGAUAGAUAGCUCAUUUCGUUGAGGGCUACAGUUGGACUUGCAUCCUCAAAAAUUGUAGGUUUACCACUUUAGAUACUUUUGGUCGUUCGUGGGCCCACGUGUCACUGUAAAUUAAAUUUUAUACUUUGGUUAUCUGUAUUACAGUAUGUAUGAAUUUAUUUAGCUUUUACACUACAAAAAUUAUUUACCGG